ensembl:lncRNA
GGCCCCAUGAAAGAAAAAAAGGCUUAAAAAUAAUAGUUUGUUUAAUACGGCAAUUUUUUUUUUUUUUUUUUCAUUAAAUAAAAACCUUUUUAGACAAAUUUUGUAAUCAUUGUGUAAAAUUAGCUACAGGGCAAUCGUGAGAAUCUGCUGUAAAAUAUGUAAUUUUCCACGAUCGGAGGAUUCGGAGCAUGUUUCAUGAAAUGACAUGGCUAAAAACCACGAGAAAGUUACACCAUGUGUGCAUUUGGGGUUUUCCGUGUUAUAACUCGAUGAAGUUACGAGCGAAAAUGCUACAUGACAGCUACCUUACAUUUUUUUUUUUUUUUACUAAACUACAUGCCACCAGUGCAGUUUUAUGUGUUAUAAAUUACUGAGGAAUAUCUUUAGAUAUAAAUGACGGAUUCUUAUGGGCUGCGUCGGAUGAUAUCAUUUAUGAUGAAAUGAUGAUAUCAUUUACUCCAUUUAGCAGCGCGUCAUGGCAACAAAAUAACGUUAAGCCAACAACAAAAAUACAAAGAGGCGACUUGAUAAAUUCACUGAAUUAGUUCCUUCGCUCUAACAGUCUACAAACCGAGACAGAUGGCAUGUAAGGCUGUUGCCCACCGGAAAGACUUUCACUGGAGAGUUAGACUUUGAACCCUGACAGCAGCUGACUUCACCUCAAAUGGAGUGUGCUGCUCAUUCAGAUGAAAAAAUGUUAGGACCUGUAGUGGCUAUGACCUUCCAGAAUCUGACUGUAAGUGCCUGUGAGGACCUGCAGUGGCAACUUCACUGUGACAACAUUUAGACCUUGAGAGAAAACGAGAUGGAAACCAUAAUGGCUAUAUUUCAGCUGGUUUACCUGGCUGGGGUACUGCUUUAAUUGGGACUGGCAUUGAUUGGAAUUGUUGGUGCAUUGAUUGCUAUUUGGUUUCCUCAUCGAAACAGGUCAAGUGGUUAAAGAUCUGGACUGUUAACCAUAAUUUAACCAUUAUGCCAUUGUCACUUACUGUUGCACUUAUCUAUCAUUUUACUGUUUUAAUAGCAUUUAGCAUAUCACAGCAUUAAGAUUCUAGUGCUAGUUUUUAUUUUUUUAAUCCAAAAGUAAUUUUGAUACUGUCUUGUGGUACAUCCAAGGCAGAACAACUGUGAGGAGGGCACUGACACAAAAAUGAAAAGUUACAUUAUCAGUUAUUGUCGUAAGAAUAAUUAAAAAUUAAUAAGUUUUAAUAUAACUCUAUAAUGUGUAUAUAUAAACCAUAAAUAUACUAACUACAUGUACCCCUUUUUUCUUGGAAAAUAUUAGUAAAUGUCCCAUUCUAUCUCAUUAUGGUGAUGAUGUUAAAACCUAGAGAGAUUACUGAGCUGACAUAAUUAGUAUGCAAAUUAAGGUAAAUGAUAUUUUUAAGUUCUACUUAUCAAGCACUCAUUAUAUGGACAUUAAGGGGGACAUGUAUGUUUAGUGUGUACAGUACUCUACCUGCAGAGCUACCCUAAAAGCUAUGUCAAAGGCAAAGUGUGGUCAUUUAUUUUUAUUUUUUUCAAAGAUUUUGGGUCUCACUUUAUAUUAAGUGGCCUUAACUACUAUGUGCUUACAUCAAAAAAAUAAGUACAGUCUACUUAUUGUGUUCAUAUUGUAUUGCAAAACACUUUUGCUGCCACUGAGGUGGGAUACGGGUAAGGUUAGGGACAGGUUUGGUGGUAUGGGUAGGUGUAAGGGAUGGGUCAACAAUAUAAUUAUAAAUAUUUAUGUACACAAUAAGUGCAUUGUCCCAAUUUAUUUAUUUAAAUGUAAGUACAUAGUAGUUAAGGCCACUUAAUAUAAAGUGGGACCGGAUUUUGCACAGUACUGUAUAUUUGACUUUUUAUAGGACUAGGAUAAACGUACAUGUAUAAAUAUAUAUAAAUAGCAUGGCACAUAGUUCUUGAAAAAGUCGAUAAAUGUGUGUAAGGAAGAGAGUAAACAUCUAUUCAGACAUUGACUUUUUUUAUACUUGUUGAGGUUCAAUAUCUCCUCUCAGUGGCUAGGGCUUAUGUAAAGUAACUGUAACACCGGAGCAAGGUUUUGCAUCGUCGCUGUGGAAGCAAAAUGCAGUGAAAUGCUGUGCCAGUGAGUACACAUAAUUAAAUGUUAAUUAAAAGAGAAAGUGAUGUUAUGAAGAAGGCAUCUAACCAUAUCAAACUAUUCUAACUGUAUAUAAAUAAAAACACACAAGUUUGGGGAAGUCGUGGCCUAGUGGUUAGAGAGUUUGACUCCUAACCCUAAGGCUGUGGGUUUGAGACUCGGGCCGGCAAUACCACGACUGAGGUGCCCUUGAGCAAGGCACCGAACCCCCAACUGCUCCCCGGGUGCCGCAGCAUAAAUGGUUGCCCACUGCUCUGGGUGUGUUCACGGUGUGUGUGUGUGUGUGUGUGUGUUCACUGCUGUGUGUGUGCACUUGGAUGGGUUAAAUGCAGAGCACGAAUUCUGAGUAUGGCUCCUGAGGCUGUAUGUCACGUCACUUUAAUUUUUUUUUUUUUUUCGUUUUAGUACAGGGUUAUCCAGAAAGAACUGAAUUGGUUGUGUUGUUAUGUGCCAUGCUAUUUGCCAAGAAAG